AGAGAGAGGAAGAGGAGGAGGAGGAAGAGGAAGGCUAAGCUGCUCUCAGAGAUCAAAGAGCAGCUCUUUUCUAGGACAGAGACUAACUGAUCACUUGGUUACCUGGUUACAGGUUCUGACCCAGUUCUGGUUCUGGUUCCACCUCAAUUUGGAGAAUAUACAACAGAACCGCCAUUAGGACAGAAACCCAACUGGACCCGAACCACCUGGAGACAGAAACACUGGAUCCUUUCUGUUCUGCUGAUCCUAACUGAUCAAUAAUCAAUGAUCAGUUCCUGAUCAGCCUCUGGUCUCCGAUGGGUCAUGUGACCAGCUGCUGUGAUCUGAAUAUUAAACUGCAAGACAUUUAGAUCAGCAGUGCAGCUCCAACUUGCAGCGGAAUCCGUGUGCUCCUGACUGAAGCAGCGAUCCUCCUGAGAGCGUUCACAGGAAGUGAGGCGAUCUCUGCUUCCUGUCUCACUGAUGCUCCGAGAUGAAACGAAUCGUUUUAAUCCUGUUUUUAAUAUUUGUAAUGUGUCGCCGUUCCUCCUGUUGCAGCGUUUAUUUAUAGAUCACAUCUGGACGGUUUGAACAUCUGGCAGCAAACAGAAAGAUCCAGAACGACGGGAUCCGAUUUCUGAGGCGGAAACAACUUCAGACGAACUGAUUCACUUUAGAUGAACCGAUUCACUUACAGGUGCGCCAUGCAGAAAGGCGGCAGACGGAAGAAUCCCAUCGGACGUCUCGGCAUUCAGGUCACUGAUCAGAACUCGCCUCUAGAAACACUGUUGACCUUCAUCAUCAUCAUCAGUGCUGUACAGUCCAGGCCUAAGAGGGAGCUAAUUAAGAAUUAAGAUGAACGGAUUAAAUUAGACUCCAGUGGAGGCGGAGCUUCACCUGUGGAC